rnacentral:rRNA from 1 species
UGGGGGAUUUUGCACAAUGGGCGCAAGCCUGAUGCAGCGACGCCGCGUGAGGGAUGAAGGCCUUCGGGUUGUAAACCUCUUUCGCUGGGUUGAAAGGCCAUGCUUUGGGUGUGGUUGAUUUGAACUGGUAAAGAAUUACCGGCUAACUACGUGCCAGCAGCCGCGGUAAUACGUAGGGUACUAGCGUUGUCCGGAUUUAUUGGGCGUAAAGGGCUUGUAGGUGGUUUGUCGCGUCUGUCGUGAAAUCCUGUGGCUUAACCAUGGGCUUGCGGUGGGUACGGGCAGGCUUGAGUGCGGUAGGGGGGACUGGAAUUCCUGGUGUAGCGGUGGAAUGCGCAGAUAUCAGGAGGAACACCGGUGGCGAAGGCGGGUCUCUGGGCCGUUACUGACACUGAGGAGCGAAAGCGUGGGGAGCGAACAGG